AUUGAACGCUGGCGGCAUGCCUUACACAUGCAAGUCGAACGGCAGCGGGGACUUCGGUCCGCCGGCGAGUGGCGAACGGGUGAGUAACGUAUCGGAACGUACCUUUCAGUGGGGGAUAACGUAGCGAAAGUUACGCUAAUACCGCAUAUUCUGUGAGAAGGAAAGCAGGGGAUCGCAAGACCUUGCGCUGAUUGAGCGGCCGAUAUCAGAUUAGCUAGUUGGUGAGGUAAAGGCUCACCAAGGCGACGAUCUGUAGCGGGUCUGAGAGGAUGAUCCGCCACACUGGAACUGAGACACGGUCCAGACUCCUACGGGAGGCAGCAGUGGGGAAUUUUGGACAAUGGGGGCAACCCUGAUCCAGCCAUGCCGCGUGAGUGAAGAAGGCCUUCGGGUUGUAAAGCUCUUUCGGCCGGGAAGAAAUCGUAUGGGUUAAUACCCUGUGCGGAUGACGGUACCGGCAUAAGAAGCACCGGUUAACUACGUGCCAGCCGCCGCCGUAAUAC
rnacentral:rRNA from 1 species